ensembl:lncRNA LINC02347 long intergenic non-protein coding RNA 2347
GGGAAUACCAGGGGUGGGCACUGUCAAGAGACCCAGCUUUGACUUCAAAUGCCACCCAGAGGGACAACUGCUCACUUUCAGAGCAGGAGCAGGAGGCCAGAGGAGAGUACCAGCUGAAACUGAUUAGAGCCAAGAUAGCCAACCAAAUGACUUCAGGAAGACCUCAGGCUUCAUUAUCAUCUCAUUUCCAUGCUAAAAAAACCCAGCUCCCUAGAACAAUGGGAAAUAUUGGGCACUUCAUCAGGCGAGUUCAGGUGCAUUUCUAGAGAUUGUCCAGGUGCUGGUAACAAUAAUAGAGAACCAUCCAUAUCCACAAGAGGCAGAACCUCUUCCAGCAAAAUGGUGCUGCCUCACCCAAAGGUAUCACUAAGCAUAUAGAUUAUAGAAGCCUGAGAUGGUGAGUGGAAUCUGAAAAUGAAAUCUAACAUUUACCAAAGAUACAGAGAAGGAGGAAGAGACUGGAUUCGUUGUUCCGGCCCCUGAGUCUAGUCAGUCAGUUCUACUCUUGGGCUUUGUAGUUCUGUUCAUCAGUGAACUCUUCUGUUUUGUUGAAACCAGUUGGAGAAGGGUUUCCAGAAACCUGCACUUGAAGAGCAUCAGCUGGCACAGAGAUCUUGGCUGAACCCACUGCUGUGUUUGACUAGGAAUGAGAGUGGGCACACGGAGAGGGCAGCCCACCAGGCAGGUUGCCUGGUUACUGGACAUGCGGACAUUCACUUUGAUUAUGCUCCAUUCGAGAAUGCUAGAAUGAAAAUGUGGGUAAAUGGUGAAGGAAUUCAAGGAAAAGAAAAUGCACCCACCAUGUUUAUGUUAUAAUACCAUGCUGGACCAGA